UACAGAGGGGGCAAGCGUUGUUCGGAAUUACUGGGCGUAAAGGGCGCGUAGGCGGCCGACUAAGUCAGACGUGAAAUCCCCUGGCUCAACCAGGGAACUGCGUCUGAUACUGGAUGGCUUGAGUUCGGGAGAGGGAAGUGGAAUUCCAGGUGUAGCGGUGAAAUGCGUAGAUAUCUGGAGGAACACCGGUGGCGAAGGCGGCUUCCUGGACCGACACUGACGCUGAGGCGCGAAAGCCAGGGGAGCAAACGGG
rnacentral:rRNA from 1 species